rnacentral:rRNA from 1 species
UACGAAGGGGGCUAGCGUUGCUCGGAAUUACUGGGCGUAAAGGGCGCGUAGGCGGCACUGUUAGUCAGGCGUGAAAGUCCUGGGCUCAACCUAGGAACUGCGCUUGAUACGGCAGAGCUAGAGGAUGGAAGAGGCUCGCGGAAUUCCCAGUGUAGAGGUGGAAUUCGUAGAUAUUGGGAAGAACACCGGUGGCGGAGGCGGCGAGCUGGUCCAUUACUGACGCUGAGGCGCGACAGCGUGGGGAGCAAACAGG